UACGGAGGGGGCUAGCGUUGUUCGGAAUUACUGGGCGUAAAGCGCACGUAGGCGGCUUUGUAAGUUAGAGGUGAAAGCCCAGAGCUCAACUCUGGAAUUGCCUUUAAGACUGCAUCGCUUGAAUUGUGGAGAGGUGAGUGGAAUUCCGAGUGUAGAGGUGAAAUUCGUAGAUAUUCGGAAGAACACCAGUGGCGAAGGCGACUCACUGGACACAUAUUGACGCUGAGGUGCGAAAGCGUGGGGAGCAAACAGG
rnacentral:rRNA from 1 species